rnacentral:rRNA from 2 species
UGGGGAAUAUUGGACAAUGGGCGAAAGCCUGAUCCAGCAAUGCCGCGUGAGUGAUGAAGGCCUUAGGGUUGUAAAGCUCUUUUACCCGGGAUGAUAAUGACAGUACCGGGAGAAUAAGCUCCGGCUAACUCCGUGCCAGCAGCCGCGGUAAUACGGAGGGAGCUAGCGUUGUUCGGAAUUACUGGGCGUAAAGCGCACGUAGGCGGCUUUGUAAGUUAGAGGUGAAAGCCUGGAGCUCAACUCCAGAACUGCCUUUAAGACUGCAUCGCUUGAAUCCAGGAGAGGUGAGUGGAAUUCCGAGUGUAGAGGUGAAAUUCGUAGAUAUUCGGAAGAACACCAGUGGCGAAGGCGGCUCACUGGACUGGUAUUGACGCUGAGGUGCGAAAGCGUGGGGAGCAAACAGG